GGGGGUUUCAUCUGGAACCCCUCUGGGAGACACCUGCUUUGGUUCCCAGACACCAGGUCGGCUGCCAGGAAACACAGCGAGCAGGAGGCCUGAGCGGCACCGAAGUGUCUGGUGCUGCCGUGUCCCCCUCGAGCUGUCCGUAGACUUGUGACAGGUGUCUCCAGAUGCCAGGUGCUGUCAGAAUGCGGGGCAGGGAAGCUCGCCUGAGGGGGGCGGCCCCAGCGAAUGCCACACGCAUUCAUCCUCUCGCCCUCUGGAGGCCAGGAUCCCACAGCUAAGAUGUCAGAAGGCUUGAUUUCUCCAAAGGAAAAAGGGGUGCAGGGUCCUUCCUGCCUCUUCCAGCUUUGGGGACGCCAGGUGUUCCCUGGCUCACGGCCGCAGCCCUCCAGCCUCUGCCUCUGUCGCCAAAGGCCCCUCCCCACCCCAUGUGUCUGUACACCCUCUCCCCACCCCUCCCCCACCCCUCCCCGACGUGUCUGUAUGCCUCCCCCUCCCCCCAUGUGUAUGAAACCCCCCACCCCUCCCCCGUGUCUGUAUCUGUAUGGCCGCCCCACCCCCACCCCCACGUGCCUGUGGGUUUUCUGCUCUUGGAGGGACCCCAGUUUUAGGACAAGAGCUCAUCCUCCCGCCUGACCUCAUAGCAGCUGAUUACAUCUGCACAGACCCUAAUUCCAACUAAGGUCACAUCCUGAGGUUCUGGGUGGACGUGGAUUUUGAGGGGACACCAUUGAACCCAGCACAGGGAGCACCCCUGGCCUGGGGAAGCCUGUGGGUCCCACCCUCCCGUGACUGGGGGCUGUAUCUGGGAGGUGGCUGAGGCUGUUGACGGAGCGAGUGGCCCCGGGCAGAGAGGGGGCUCCGUGCCAGGCCGGACGCUCCCCAGGUGAGCGCAGUACCCGCUGGGCCUCCGAAGCCCCUUCCCGGAGAUGAAAGGUCAUCGUUAAAAGCAGUCUCGGUCCCAUUAUAAAUAAAUUUAUUAAACUGCUCGUUGCUGCAGGUGGCCCUGUGUAUUUUUAACAAACGGGAGCAGGCUCAGCUGCUGCGAGGAGCUGGAGAGGGUGAGGCUGGCACGGGGGCUUCAGGGCGGCUGGCCUGCAGCCCUCCACCCGCACGGUGCCGGCAUCACUUCUGCAAAGGCUGGGUGUGGGAGGGCGGAGGACGGGCCCUGGGCUGCAGAAACCAAGGCUGUGGCAGCAAGGGACGCCCCUCAGGCUCAGGCUUCUGCUCCUCCUGGGUGCCCAGCCCACUCCAGAGGCUGCAGGGACAGCCCAGCCCCUUCUCCAGCCACCCAGGGAGCGGGGAGCCCACGCGAGUGGCAUCACGAGGAAUGGGCUCCCCGAAAAGAACCCAGCUUUCAGGCUUGAAGCCCUUCUCACUCAUCACAGCUUCAAGUUCACCUUUUAAAAAUUGUAUUGAGGGGAAAAUGAACCAGUUUAAGUGACUGAUUCAGGGGCAUUUUUGCUUCCACGAUGUGGGGCGCCCCCCCACACACACACACAUCCAGUUCCAGCACGUUGCCCACAUCCUCAGCUGUCACUGCCUCCCCCUGCCCCCCGCGCCUGGCAGCCACCAGCGCAUCCUGGUCCCUGUGGAUCUGCCUGUUCUGGGCGCUUCAUGCCACGGGGUCACACACGGCAGGACCUUCUGAGUCUGGAUCCUCUCACUGGGACGCCGUGGAGGGUCCUGCACGUCGUGAUGCGUGUCCGCGCCUCGUCCUUUCUUGUGGCUGAAAAAUAGUCCACUUCGGGGAUGGAUGUGCGCGUUUUGUUUGGCCGUCUGUUGGUGGACCGUCACUGGGCAUCCAGCUUACUCUGCAAAGGGACCAGUUUCCUACGGAUGCAAACCCCUCAGGGCUGGAGGAGGAGUCUUCCUGAUUUGAUGGGAAGGGGCGCGGGGCGGGCCUCUGAGGAUGGGGGAGUUCAGGUGGGACGUGUCACGGGGCCUCCUGGUCUUGACCAGCCGACUGCAAGUGGCCUGGAGUGGCUGCAUGCGUCAGGCCUGUGGGCACCACCAGGGCAGCCUGGAAAGGCCAUGGACAGCUGCAGGCCAGCCUGCGUUCCCCCAAGGGAGGGGGUGGGUCCAGGCCCGACACCCCAGGCCCUGCACAGGUGUCCCUGUGGUCAUAGCAGAGGGGCCAGAGCCUGCCUCACGCUUGUUGAGUGGAUGAAUGAAUGAACCUUGAAUGAAUGAAUGAAUUAGGGUGGGGUACCGCCAUCCUCCGGGACUCCGUUACUGCAGCCGAGAGCUUUCCAAAGGCAAAGCGAUCUAGGAGAGUCAUUUUAGGGCUCCAAAAUGUGCAAAGGUAACGAGACCAUUUAAAUUAGGAAAUAUUUAAUGUCCGUCUCCAAACUUCAUUUACUGUUACACGGAGUGUUCCUUUAAAGGAAUUCACGGGUCAGCCUUCUCACCUGACCGACGACCUCAGCGCUGCCAGUGGCGACUGAGGUGUCGUCCGUCCUCGGCAGAGGACCCACCCCAGCCAGGCAGACAGCUGCAGAUGUGAAAGUGUGCAGAUGCCUCCAGACUGCUCGCAGUCACGGAGUUACACUUGCUGGCACGUGCGUGGGUUUAUGAGGGUUUUUUAAGCCAUCGAUCAAACAAAUGAUUUCAAAACACAAGCAGGAAGAGAUCAAGGGUCUGUCUGUGGCACCGAGGUCACGGAUGGUUGGCCAGGGGACUAAGUAUUGUGACAGGCAAGUGUUGCCUAACAUUAAUUUCAUAUAGGGAGUUCCUGUUGCGGCUCAGCAUGUUAUGAACCCAACUAAUAUCCAGGAGGAUACAGGUUCGAUCCCUGGCCUCGCUCAGUGGGUUAAGGAUCUGGUGUUGCCGUGAGCUGUGGUGUAGGCCAGCAGCCGUAGCUCCGAUUCAACCCCUAGUCUGGAAACUUCCAUAUGCCGUGGGUAUGGCCCUAAAAAGAAAAGAAAAUUUUAUAUAAAAACUGAGGUGUCUAGUUUCCCUUGAAAAAUCGGAAGACCUAGCCACAGGGAUUUGGUGUUUCGUCCUAGAUGCCAUCACUUAGGGUUGAAGAGUAGCCCCUGCUUUAGAGAGGACCUGUUGAUGUUUGAAACAGGGCUGGGGGCGGGGUGGGGCUUCAAAGGCAACAGAGGGGACCUGGGGCCUCCCCUGGGGCUCUGGACACCACGCUCCAUCCUGGGCACCAGUGGUCUGUGAUGUGGGCUGAGAGCCCCUGUCCCCCCCGCCGCCCCGCCACGGCCAGCACCCGAAAAGCCUCUGGCCUCCUGAAGGAGUCUGUCCUGCUUUUGUCAGUGUCCACCAAGCCCCUCCCAUGUGGCAGGCUCGUGGAGGGGGUGCUGGAGCUUGACGGAAGCUGAGUGAGGUGGGGGAAUGCCAGCCCCUGGGUGGGGAGUGGCCCAGGUCCUCGUUUCGGGCAGACGGGGGCCGCAGGGCUGAUGCACACGUGUGGGCUCCGGGCAGACGUACAGUGAUGUGCAGAAAUGCGGGGAGGAGGGAGCUGUGGACCCCGAGGGGCCACCCGAGCCCCUGCUGGGGUGCAUGGCGCUUCCUCUGGAGAGGACGGGUCCCACCCCCCGACUGUCCCCCCUUUAGUGGAGGGUUCUGGCCGCGGCCCCGCACAGAGCUGCACAGAGCGUGUCCACCCACCCUCCAGCGAGCCGGGCCUUCUGCCUGGUGGUCCAGCAGGGAUCCCAUCCCAUCUUGGGGCAGCCAGAGACCAGGGCGCCCACGGUGUCCACGUAGCCGGCGGCCUGUGCUCACUCCCAGCAGGGGCGACGGAGGGACAAGCCAGGGAGCACAGGACAGUGUCUUUGGAGAGAAAGCGUGACGUGGCCGAGGAACGAGGCCUGUGAUGGACUGGCCUGUGUCCUCCUAGAUUCCUGUGUUGGAGCCCUGCCCCCGUGUGAGGAGGUUCCCGGACUCAGGUUUGGCUGCUCAGCCUCCAAAGCCAGUACCUGAGAGCCGGGUGUCGCGAGGAACGGAAAGAUGGGUUCACUCAGGAGCCCGGGGACAAGGCGGACUCGUGUCCGAGAACCACCUCCCACUGCCGAUCGGGGCCAGGAGCUCGUAAGGGCGAGUUUCAGGGGUGCCAGGCGGAAAGGGGGGCUGCGGGCCCGCCAGCACGGUGGGCUCCGUCGGCUCCGAGAGUCAGCUUGACAUUGGCCACGUGGCGUCUAUCGGCAUCGCCUUGGUGGUUUAGGUACGGCUGCUCCUCAGUUCCAGAGUCGGUUUGGUCCCGUGUCUUUGAGGUCCGCUCUCGGAAUCGCGGCCGCCGAUGUCCCGGCUGCGGUCAGGCCAUCACGUAGUUAACUUCUUCCCCCUGGCGGGGCUUCAGUCUCCGCAGCAGCCCACAGGACACGGCUGGGAAUGUCGUCCACAGCCCUGGAGUCCUUGACUUGAAUGGCCAAACUAUUACUUUGUCGUGUUUGACGACUUUUCUUUGCCUCUGCGUCUUCUUACUCCUCUGAUAAAAGUUACGCUUUGACUAAUGUUUUUCUACAGACAAGAAGCAAGACAUGGGGGCCAGUGGGGGCGUCUGUCCUUGGAAGCUCCCAGGGUCCUGAUCAGUUACAGGGUAUUGGAGGUGGGCCUUUGGGAGAUACUUAGGGUUAGAUGAGGGUGGAGCCCCCACGGGACGCUCGUCUUUACGGGAAGAGGAGGCUACCCAGAGCCCUCUCUGCCCCAUGAGGGCGCAGCGAUGCCUGCAAGCCAGGGAGGGGGUCCUCCCAACCGAGCUGACACCCUGGUCUCAGACCUCCAGCCUCCGGACUGCGGGACGAUCGGCUCCUGCUGCUUGGGCCAGUCCCUGGUAGUUUGUGACAGCCGCCCCAGCCGACUCACACAAGCCCCGACUGCCAGGUUUAAGUCCCAGCUCUCCAGAGCCCAAGCUGGGGGCCUGGGCCUGCUCCUGGCCCCUUAGGUGGAGGCGGUGGAGGGUGUUGUAGGUGCCCAGGCGCUGAGGGGUCCCCAGAGACCCUCCAAAGCACCAGCGAUGGGGCUGGGGGUACAGAGCUGGGCAGGUCUCUGCCUCUGCACCGGCUCCACCAGGUUGCCCAUGGCUCCUGCCCCCCCAGAUCCCGUGCAGAAGCCCAAGUUUGGCAGAAAUCCUGCCUCUCAACCUGGGUGGGAUCUGGGGGUGGCAUCCCCUUCCCAACCGGCCGGGAAUGCGUUCCAUGUGCCUGCGCUGCCGGUUCACCUGUGAUCACCUGUGAUCAUCUGUGCCAGUCUGGCCUGAGGGUGAGGCCCCUUUCCCUGCCCUCACCUCUCUCAUCUGCCUGCCUUCUUCCAUCCCCUCCUAUUCUGAGCCUUCUCUUUCCCUCUGGCUCUGUCUUUUCCUUUUCAAAACCCAACAUCUGGGAGUUCCCGUCGUGGCGCAGUGGUUAACGAAUCCGACUAGGAACCAUGAGGUCGCGGGUUCGGUCCCUGCCCUUGCUCAGUGGGUUAACGAUCUGGCGUUGCGUGAGCUGUGGUGUAGGUUGCAGACGCGGCUCGGAUCCCGUGUUGCUGUGGCUCUGGCGUAGGCCGGUGGCUACAGCUCCGAUUCAACCCCUAGCCUGGGAACCUCCAUAUGCCGCGGGAGCGGCCCAAGAAAUAGCAACAACAACUACAAAAGACAAAAAAAAAAAA
rnacentral:lncRNA from 1 species